AACUCUUAUCUUGAAACACAUUUUCAGGAAGAUUGAUGCGUUUGUAUGGGAGAAGAAGGAAGAAAAAGUUUCGAUAGAAAAUGGAAACUCAUUCAGUUUAGUCAGCCAAUCUUUUGAAUGGGAAUAGGCACAAAAAGUCGUGAGAAAUG
ensembl:ncRNA F19H6.8 ncRNA